rnacentral:rRNA from 1 species
UAGAGUUUGAUCCUGGCUCAGAAUGAACGCUGGCGGCGUGCCUAACACAUGCAAGUCGAACGGGAAAGGUCGAAAGACUGAGUAGAGUGGCGGACGGGUGAGUAAAAUAUAGGUAUCUGCCCUUUAGAGGAGAAUACCAUCGAGAAAUCGGUGUUAAUACUGCAUAAGCCCAGAGAUGGGGAAAGGUGGCCUCAAAGCUACCGCUAAGGGAUGAGCCUGUAACCUAUUAGCUAGUUGGUGGGGUAAGAGCCUACCAAGGCAAAGAUGGGUAACCGGCCUGAGAGGGUGUACGGUCACACUGGAACUGAGACACGGUCCAGACUCCUACGGGAGGCAGCAGUGGGGGAUAUUGCACAAUGGGCGCAAGCCUGAUGCAGCGACGCCGCGCGGAGGAUGAAGGUUUUCGGAUUGUAAACUCCUGUUACGUGGGAAAAAAUGCCCUGUUUGAAUAAAGCAGGGAGCUGAUGGUACCACGAGAGAAAGCACCGGCAAACUUCGUGCCAGCAGCCGCGGUAAUACGAAGGGUGCAAGCGUUAUUCGGAAUAACUGGGUGUAAAGCGCGUGAAGGCGGUUUUAUAAGUCAUUUGUAAAGAGCUCGGCUUAACUGAGCAACUGCAGACGAUACUGUAGAACUAGAGUGCAGGAGAGAAAGGUAGAAUUCUCGGAGUAGCGGUAAAAUGCGUAGACCUCGAGAGGAAUACCGGUUGCGAAGGCGGCCUUUUGGCCUGUAACUGACGCUCAAGCGCGAAAGCGUGGGUAGCAAACAGGAUUAGAUACCCUGGUAGCCCACGCUGUAAACGAUGAUCACUAGAUGUAGGUUUCGCAAUGCGAGAUCUGUGUCGUAGCUAACGCGUUAAGUGAUCCACCUGAGUACUACGAUCGCAAGAUUAAAACUCAAAGGAAUUGACGGGGGUCCGCACAAGCGGUGGAACAUGUGGUUUAAUUCGACACUACGCGAGGAACCUUACCUGGGUUUGACAUGUAACUGCAACCGAUAGAGAUAUUGGGUUCCGUAGCAAUACGGACGGUUACACAGGUGCUGCAUGGCUGUCGUCAGCUCGUGUCGUGAGACGUCGGGUUAAGUCCUUGAACGAGCGCAACCCUUGCCGUUAGUCGCCUACCGAAAGGUGGCUCUCUAGCGGGACUGCUUCGGAAACGGAGAGGAAGGUGGGGAUGACGUCAAGUCCUCAUGGCCCUUAUGCCCAGGGCGACACACGUGUUACAAUGGCGAGGAACAGAGGGGUGCAAUACCGCGAGGUGGAGCAAAUCCUACAAAACUCGUCUAAGUUCGGAUUGUAGUCUGCAACUCGACUACAUGAAGUUGAAAUCGCUAGUAAUCGCAUAUCAGAACGAUGCGGUGAAUACGUUCUCGGACCUUGUACACACCGCCCGUCACACCAUGAGAGUCGUCGGCACCCGAAAUCAUUUUAGCUAACUGGGAAACCAGGGGCGAGUGAUGAAGGUGAAGGGGAUGAUUGGGGUGAAGUCGUAACAAGGUAGCUGUACGAGAACGUGCGGCUGGAUCACCUCCUUA